CUACGGGCGGCUGCAGUGAGGAAUAUUGCACAAUGGGGGGAACCCUGAUGCAGCAACGCCGCGUGGAGGAUGACGCAUUUCGGUGUGUAAACUCCUUUUAUAUGUCAAGAAAAUGACGGUAGCAUAUGAAUAAGCACCGGCUAACUCCGUGCCAGCAGCCGCGGUAAUACGGAGGGUGCAAGCGUUACUCGGAAUCACUGGGCGUAAAGGACGCGUAGGCGGGUUGGAAAGUCAGGUGUGAAAUCCUACAGCUUAACUGUAGAACUGCACUUGAAACUUCUAAUCUAGAGUAUGGGAGGGGGAGAUGGAAUUAGUGGUGUAGGGGUAAAAUCCGUAGAUAUCACUAGGAAUACCGAAAGCGAAGGCGAUCCCCUGGAACAUUACUGACGCUAAGGCGUGAAAGCGUGGGGAGCAAACAGGAUUAGAUACCCCCGUAGUC
rnacentral:rRNA from 1 species